rnacentral:lncRNA from 1 species
CGCAGAGGAAGUCGAAAGUGGCGCGGGACAUCCGAAAGGCGCGCCGGAAUUCGUCCUCCGGGAGGUCCGGAUGGUUGUACCGGUCCCACCAGUCGCGGGACCGGUCCUUGACCCAGAGCCGGCGUUGCCCGGGCUGCAACGGCGGCGGCGCAGCCUGUGGCUCCUCCCCUGAGGCGUCAUCGUCGGCGUGCGGGGGGGAAGAGGAGGCGAAGGGCUUCAAGGCAACGAGCCGGCUGGGGGAUAAGUCAUCCGCUCGCGGGCGCUUCUUGACUUUGGAUUCCAUGGCCAGGGGGAGAGCGGAAUGGGGUUGAGGAUCGGGGAGGACGGCGGUGGCGGGGUCGUGGAAAAAGGAGUAGUAAUAGGAGAAGAGGUCGUCGUCGAACGAGGCGGCGGGGACAAGCGAAGGAGUCUGAUAAGUGGUCAUGAAUGAUCCCAGUGGCGGCGGGGGUUUCCUUCGUUCGUCUGCAACUCGAGCUCAAGAAUUUUG